UACGAAGGGGGGCUAGCGUUGCUCGGAAUCACUGGGCGUAAAGCGCACGUAGGCGGAUUGUUAAGUCAGGGGUGAAAUCCUGGAGCUCAACUCCAGAACUGCCUUUGAUACUGGCGAUCUCGAGUCCGGGAGAGGUGAGUGGAACUGCGAGUGUAGAGGUGAAAUUCGUAGAUAUUCGCAAGAACACCAGUGGCGAAGGCGGCUCACUGGCCCGGUACUGACGCUGACGGUGCGAAAGCGUGGGGAGCAAACAGGG
rnacentral:rRNA from 1 species